AUGGAGCUGUUCCUGGGAGUUGUUUUGGUGAUUUUGUGGCUUCCAGUGGACUGGGUGAGCAGCCAAAGGAUGGAACAGACUCCUCAGUCCCUGAGCAUCCAGGAGGGUGAAAAGGCCAUUCUGACCUGUAACUACACAAAUUAUUCUCCAGAGUCCUUACAGUGGUAUCGACAAGAUAUGGGAAAAGGCCUCAUCUUCUUGCUACUAAUACGUGAAAAUGAGCCUGAGAAACAGACGGGAAGGCUGAGGGCCACAUUUGAUACAACCACCAAACAGGGCUCCUUUCAUAUCACAGCCUCCCAGCCUGCAGACUCAGUCACCUACCUCUGUGCUGCAGACACACAGUGGGGCACUGCCACCUGCUUCCUGUACCGAAACCCUGCUAACCACUCAGUCAACAGAGCUGCUGGCUGUGCUGUCCCUGAAGGCUUAUCACAGCUCCUGGCAAAAUAA